rnacentral:rRNA from 1 species
GAGACAGCAGCAGCCACGGUAAUACGUAGGGUGCGAGCGUUAAUCGGAAUUACUGGGCGUAAAGCGUGCGCAGGCGGUUCGUUAAGUCAGAUGUGAAAUCCCCGGGCUCAACCUGGGAACUGCAUUUGAGACUGUAUGGCUAGAGUGUGUCAGAGGGGGGUAGAAUUCCACGUGUAGCAGUGAAAUGCGUAGAUAUGUGGAGGAAUACCGAUGGCGAAGGCAGCCCCCUGGGAUAACACUGACGCUCAUGCACGAAAGCGUGGGGAGCAAACAGGAUUAGAUACCCCAGUAGUCCCUGUCUCUUAUAC